rnacentral:rRNA from 1 species
UACGUAGAGUGCGAGCGUUGUCCGGAAUUAUUGGGCGUAAAGAGCUCGUAGGCGGUUUGUUGCGUCUAUCGUGAAAACCUGCAGCUUAACUGUGGGCUUGCGGUGGAUACGGGCAGACUUGAGUUCGGUAGGGGAGACUGGAAUUCCUGGUGUAGCGGUGAAAUGCGCAGAUAUCAGGAGGAACACCGGUGGCGAAGGCGGGUCUCUGGGCCGAUACUGACGCUGAGGAGCGAAAGCGUGGGGAGCGAACAGG